GCCUCCUCCUGGUCCUCCCUUUCCCUGGACCCCCAGGGCAGAUAGCCCACCGGGUUUCCUCGAAGGGAGAGGGUCUCUGUGCUGGAUGGGAGAGUGGAGAAGCCAUCUGGGCCUUUAGCUGCUGAUAAAUGUCCUGGGCUUCUGCUGGGCUCAGGCUGAUUCCAGUUCAGCACCUCUGCAGACAGACCUCUCCACCACCUCCUCUGCCUCUUCCUCUACCUCCACCACUACAACCACCAAGGCAGAGGAGAAGAAGCUUUUAUCUAAAGACUCUAUCCUAUCUCUGUAUGCCAGCAGCUCAGUGGGCAGCCAGCCACAGAGCCAGCAACAACUUGCUCCAGGGCAAGGUAUGUACAUGGGCCAGCCUCAGAUGUAGUUCACUCCUCAGGGCUUCACCCCAGGAGUGGCCAGAGCUGCACCACCCACCACCAUCAUGAGGGUAGGGGCCAUGAUGCCAGGCAUAGCUAUACCCAACAGUGGCUACAUGGGCAUGCAGUAGCAGGGUGGGAUGCCAGUCAGCCAAGGACAAAAAUUGUACAACAUGCAGCAAGGACAGUGGAGCAUGAGCCAGGUAGCACACAGAGCAGACACAAAUGUGUCAUCUGUCUAAAGCAUAAUGGUGAUUAAUUUAUGUUAUGGUGGUGAUUAACUCAUUUUAAUGUUUUGACUCAUUGUUAUUCCACUCCAGUCUCUCCACUCAUUUAUAUUUUAGUGAGCACACUGACAUGUUUACUGUGUUUCUUGUAACCUAAAUAAAAUGGUCAGAAAUAUUUUGUCUUUUUCCUCUAUACCACCUGUGAAAGAGUUCCAUUCUUCAGGUCCUAAAAGUUAAUAAAUGGUCAUAUAUAAUGUUCUGUUCCCUAACUUUGCAAAGCCCAGUGCAGUAAUGACCGCACUCCUUCAGCCUCUCUAACAGCCAAAGAGAAGAAGCUUUGAUUACCUAUUCCAUCUUUUUUAUAGCUUGGGCUGUUGUGUAAUAGUAUAAUGGAUUUUCUUCUUAGAUUUUGUCCGGUCACUCUCUUUUGUCCCUCUUCCCAUGAAAUGAUUAAUGAGUGUAUAAUGACUUCAUGACCAUUAGGUGGGAGUGGAGGCAGAGUCAUUACAAACUUGCAACCAGGUUGGGGUGUCCACUGUGGAUACAUUAUGCAUUUGAAAUGAAGCUAGAUCAUUUAUAUUCAUGUGAUUUAGCCCAUUAUCCUUCCUAACUGUGUUUAGCUCUUCAGUUUUCUAACCAGUGUUUAAAUAUUUCAUAUUAGCUUGCAGGUUUGGACCAAUAUACAGAAUGGGGCCAGUAUUAUCCCUCUGUUUAUAAAAUCCAGCAUACCCGUAAACUAGCUGUGUUCUAGUUGUAGUACAGCUCCAACAACACAUCUGUCUGGGUUUUAACUUUGUCAACCACCUCUUUUGCUCCAUUUUCACCUGCUAUAAACAUAUAACCUGUGUCUGGAGUCAGUAUAUGGGUAGUGACAUAUUGUAUCACCAUAGGUCUUUUUAUUUAAGUGAUUGGAUCACAAUAUGCAUUUUAGGUUGGUGGUGCUGAUAGACCUGUCAACAAACAGGACAGAGCCGCUGUAUAUGCAUUACUUAUUAGCUGCGUACCAUGUGGCUGUGCAUACAUAGUGUAGAUGAAAUGAAUGGAGGCCAUGUUCAUCCAUAAAUUAUAACAUGCCAGGCAGGUUUUGUUGUUUUUCUUUGCAGAGGAAGAGCUUAUCUGUAUAAAAGUGCAGACCAGUUUGUAAAGUCAUUUUUCAUCAUAGCUCUUUUUAGAAAACACAAUUACAAAUAGAAUUUCUUAGCUUAAAAGGGUCAAAAGCUAAAAAAGGUUGAGAACCACUGAUAUAUUUGAAUGUGACAGACACCAUCUGGCCUGUUACCCAGCAUCACUAAGCAGAUGAAUAGAUCAGUCCAACCUGGUUUCUCAAACUGUCAGUUAAAAAAAAAAGAAAAACAAAUGUCAAGGAUCCCCUUUAAGUCUCAGUAAUUGCUGGGCAGCCCCUGGGUCCCCUUGGUGUCUUUGGUAGCCUUGCUGUGAUGUUUUAAACUCAAACAAGCUGGGUUCAGUGAAAACGGGUCUCUGACCCAAUUAAGACAUUCCUUGUUGUUAAAAUAUGCUGCUUCUCCCUGCACUCCCUGGGGCAAAUUAAAGCACCGCUGAAAUCACAGCAGUUUGUCUUUUCUGGACUUUAAAUAGCAAAGCAGGUACUAUAUCACUCGUUCUAUCGUGUUGUGGAUUUGCCUCUCAGAUUGUUGGCGGAGAA